GGGCUCAUAGCUCAGUGGUAGAGUGCGUCGUUGACAUCGACGAGGUCAUAGGUUCAAUCCCUAUUGAGCCCACCA
rnacentral:tRNA from 1 species